rnacentral:rRNA from 1 species
UACGGGGGGAGCAAGCGUUGUUCGGAUUUACUGGGCGUAAAGGGCUCGUAGGCGGCCAACUAAGUCAGACGUGAAAUCCCUCGGCUUAACCGGGGAACUGCGUCUGAUACUGGAUGGCUUGAGAUUGGGAGAGGGAUGCGGAAUUCCAGGUGUAGCGGUGAAAUGCGUAGAUAUCUGGAGGAACACCGGUGGCGAAGGCGGCAUCCUGGACCAACACUGACGCUGAGGAGCGAAAGCCAGGGGAGCAAACGGG